UACAGAGGGUGCAAGCGUUGUCCGGAAUUACUGGGCGUAAAGGGCGCGUAGGCGGCUCGAUAAGUAGGAGGUGAGAUCCCGUGGCUCAACCACGGAACCGCCUUCUAGACUGUCGGACUUGAGCACGGUAGAGGCAGAUGGAAUUCCCGGUGUAGCGGUGGAAUGCGUAGAGAUCGGGAAGGACACCAGUGGCGAAGGCGGUCUGCUGGGCCGUUGCUGACGCUGAGGCGCGACAGCGUGGGGAGCAAACAGG
rnacentral:rRNA from 1 species